rnacentral:rRNA from 1 species
CUGACCUCAAAUCAGGUAGGAUUACCCGCUGAACUUAAGCAUAUCAAUAAGCGGAGGAAAAGAAACUAACAAGGAUUCCCCUAGUAACUGCGAGUGAAGCGGGAUAAGCUCAAAUUUAAAAUCUGGUAGCUUCGCUGCCCGAGUUGUAAUCUGGAGAAGUGCUUUCCGUGCUGGACCGUGUACAAGUCUCUUGGAACAGAGCGUCAUAGAGGGUGAGAAUCCCGUCUUUGACACGGACUACCAGUGCUUUGUGAUGCGCUCUCAAAGAGUCGAGUUGUUUGGGAAUGCAGCUCAAAAUGGGUGGUAAAUUCCAUCUAAAGCUAAAUAUUGGCGAGAGACCGAUAGCGAACAAGUACCGUGAGGGAAAGAUGAAAAGAACUUUGGAAAGAGAGUUAAACAGUACGUGAAAUUGCUGAAAGGGAAACGCUUGAAGUCAGUCGCGUUGGCCGGAACUCAGCCUGGCUUUUGCUUGGUGCAUUUUCUGGUUGACGGGUCAGCAUCAGUUUUGACUGUCGGAUAAUGGUCGAGGGAAUGUGGCAUCUUCGGAUGUGUUAUAGCCCUUGGUCGCAUACGAUGGUUGGGACUGAGGAUCUCAGCACACCUUUAUGGUCGGGGUUCGCCCACGUUUGUGCUCAGGAUGCUGGCAUAAUGGCUUUAAACGACCCGUC